GCCCCGUAGCUCAAUGGCAGAGCAAGCGGCUGUUAACCGCAAGGUUGCUGGUUCAAAUCCAGUCAGGGGUA
rnacentral:tRNA from 1 species